rnacentral:rRNA from 1 species
UACGGGGGGUGCAAGCGUUAAUCGGAAUUACUGGGCGUAAAGCGCGCGUAGGCGGUUUGCUCAGUCGGAUGUGAAAGCCCAGGGCUCAACCUUGGAACUGCAUACGAUACUGGCAAACUAGAGUGUGAGAGAGGAUAGUGGAAUUUCCGGUGUAGCGGUGAAAUGCGUAGAUAUCGGAAGGAACAUCAGUGGCGAAGGCGACUGUCUGGCUCAACACUGACGCUGAGGUGCGAAAGCGUGGGUAGCAAACAGGAUUAGAAACCCGUGUAGUCC